CUCCCACUUGCCCUUCCAGACCCAGCUCCAGCAGCCGCUAGCCCUCAGUCUUCCCUGAUUCCAUCAAGCAGAGCUGCCUCUCUGGCGUCCCCAAGGCCACCGUCCGGGUCGUUUGCACCCAUUUCUCCUCUGCACGCAUCUGUUGGCAUGCUUGUCUCUGCUCACACUCUGAAGGGAAGGCAAGCGUGCCUGUGUGCACUCACAUGAUCCAGCACAUGAUGGAACUAGGAACUGAAGACAUGAGUUAAUGUGACAGUGGCGAUCGAACCAGCAGAAGAGCUGUUAAAAAAAUAAAUUGGUACCAAGAUUAUGCCUCAGUUUCUGUCAGUUUGGGCAUCACUACUCCACCCCCAUGAACCACUUCACCUCAAGGUACUGAGACAAAAUUGAGGAUCUGAGUCUCCUGAGGCCAACCCUAGAAACGAACAACUCUGGCCAGGCACAGAUGUGCUGCAGCAGCCAGCCAGGCUCCUGGGCAACAUUUCUUCCUGUAGGGUGACGGCGUGCUGGCUGUCAUGGGUAACAGUCCUGCGUGGAAGUUCUGAGAUGCUUUUAGAGAAGAGUAUUGAGCCAGUAAGUAGAUUUCGAAUCAAUAAGCUUGCAUUGAGCACUGGGGCUCUGAGAGGAGUCGUUCUCAAAUGCGUUCUCCGAUUGAUACUAACCUAAUAGGGUUUGGUUUACCAGGCCUGACCUUCCCAACAACCCUGUAAGAGAAGACCAGUCACUUCCACGUCAGAGGUGAGGACAGUCCUUCCGGUGCCUGCUGCAGGUGUAGAGAGCCAGCACUCCAGUCCGACACUCUGACUCCAAACAGCGUUCUUUCUACACUGCAGGACACAAUGUUUGAGGCAGAAAAGGCAGAUUUUGCUAAUCAGCUUGGAAGGAAAGCAGCUGUUGCCCACACUGCUGAGAAGGGGAGUCCACGGUGUCCUCCCGGAAGGACAGAGCCAUCUGGCCGGUGGCGCUGGGACGGCAGAGCCUGCCUCCUGACCCUCCUCGCCUGCCAGUCUGAGCGAGCACCAGGCCUUCCGCUGCGUUGGGCGCAUUCCACUCUGCAAGCCAAGUGAACGAACGCGUUUGGGGCAGAGGGGUCAGGUUGCUCAGAGGAGAGGAAGAAGCAGGCCGCAGCCACACACCCAUGCCUCCUCUGGCUUUGCAUCUGGUUUUUGCCUCGAUUCCUCCACCGUUCCCACAGACGGGAAAGCAGAGGCGCUGCUCACUGGUUCUCACAGACCGGUCACUGUCACCUGCAAUCGCGCUUCUCAGGUAAGUCGCCGGUGGCCUCCCGGUCGGCCCUGGUGAGCCCUCAUCUCGCCCGUCGCCUCAGCAGCACUCGAUGACGAGGACCGCGCCGCGCC
rnacentral:lncRNA from 1 species